GGCAUGCCUAACACAUGCAAGUCGAGCGGCAGCGCGGGGGCGACCCUGGCGGCGAGCGGCGGACGGGUGAGUAAAGCAUCGGAAUCUGCCCUGAUGUGGGGGAUAACGUAGGGAAACUUACGCUAAUACCGCAUACGACCGAGAGGUGAAAGCGGGGGACCGAAAGGCCUCGCGCAGCAGGAUGAGCCGAUGUCCGAUUAGCUGGUUGGUGGGGUAACGGCCCACCAAGGCGACGAUCGGUAGCUGGUCUGAGAGGAUGAUCAGCCACACUGGGACUGAGACACGGCCCAGACUCCUACGGGAGGCAGCAGUGGGGAAUAUUGGACAAUGGGGGCAACCCUGAUCCAGCAAUGCCGCGUGUGUGAAGAAGGCCUUCGGGUUGUAAAGCACUUUUAUCGGGAACGAAACGCGCCGGGUUAAUACCUUGGCGAACUGACGGUACCCGAGGAAUAAGCACCGGCUAACUACCGUGCCAGCAGCCGCGGUAACACGGAGGGUGCAAGCGUUAAUCG
rnacentral:rRNA from 1 species